AUACCCGAAGUCCGUGAGCUAACCGCAAGGAGGCAGCGGCCGAAGGUAGGGUCAGCGAUUGGGGUGAAGUCGUAACAAGGUAGCCGUAGGAGAACCUGCGGCUGGAUCACCUCCUUU
rnacentral:rRNA from 1 species